rnacentral:rRNA from 1 species
AGUUCGAUUCUGGCUCAGAUUGAACGCUGGCGGGAUGCUUUACACAUGCAAGUCGAACGGCAGCACGGACUUCGGUCUGGUGGCGAGUGGCGAACGGGUGAGUAAUGUAUCGGAACGUGCCUAGUAGCGGGGGAUAACUACGCGAAAGCGUAGCUAAUACCGCAUACGCCCUUCGGGGAAAGCGGGGGACCUUCGGGCCUCGCACUAUUAGAGCGGCCGAUAUCGGAUUAGCUAGUUGGUGGGUAACGGCUCACCAAGGCGACGAUCCGUAGCUGGUUUGAGAGGGACGACCAGCCACACUGGGACUGAGACACGGCCCAGACUCCUACGGAGGCAGCAGGGAAUUUUGGACAAUGGGGAAACCCUGAUCCAGCCAUCCCGCGUGUGCGAUGAAGGCCUUCGGUUGUAAAAGCACUUUUGGCAGGAGAGGAAGAAAACGGCACGGGAUAAUACCCCCGUGCAACUGACGGUACCUGCAGAAUAAGCACCGGCUAACGCGCCGCGCAGCCGCGGUAAUACGUAGGGUGCAAGCGUUAAUCGGAAUUACUGCUAAAGCGUGCGCAGGCGGUUCGGAAAGAAAGAUGUGAAAUCCCAGAGCUUAACUUUGGAACUGCAUUUUUAACUACCGAGCUAGAGUGUGUCAGAGGGAGGUGGAAUUCCGCGUGUAGCAGUGAAAUGCGUAGAUAUGCGGAGGAACACCGAUGGCGAAGGCAGCCUCCUGGGAUCACUCAUUGACGCUCAUGCACGAAAGCGUGGGGAGCAAACAGGAUUAGAUACCCUGGUAGUCCACGCCCUAAACGAUGUCAACUAGCUGUUGGGGCCUUUCGGGCCUAUGGUAGCGCAGCUAACGCGUGAAGUUGACCGCCUGGGGAGUACGGUCGCAAGAUUAAACUCGCAUGGAAUUGACGGGGACUCGCACAAGCGGUGGAUGAUGUGGAUUAAUUCGAUGCAACGCGAAACCUUACCUACCCUUGACAUGUCUGGAAUCCCGAAGAGAUUUGGGAGUGCUCGCAAGAGAACCGGAACACAGGUGUUGCAUGGCUGUCGUCAGCUCGUGUCGAGAUGUUGGGUUAAGUCCCGCAACGAGCGCAACCCUUGUCAUUAGUUGCUACGAAAGGGCACUCUUAAUGAGACUGCCGGUGACAAACCGGAGGAAGGUGGGGAUGACGUCAAGUCCUCAUGGCCCUUAUGGGUAGGGCUUUCACACGUCAUACAAUGAAGGUCGGGACAGAGGGUCGCCAACCCGCGAGGGGGAGCUAAUCCCAGAAACCUGAUCGUAGUCCGGAUCGCAGUCUGCAACUCGACUGCGUGAAGUCGGAAUCGCUAGUAAUCGCGGAUCAGCAUGUCGCGGUGAACAUGUUCCCGGGCGGUACACACCGCCCGUCACACCAUGGGAGUGGGUUUUACCAGAAGUAGUUAGCCUAACCGUAAGGAGGGCGAUUACCACGGUAGGAUUCAUGACUGGGGUGAAGUCGUAACAAGGUAG